AGAGCGUGGAGCUGCCGUCCUCAGCCAUCGUGCUGGCACCCACGGUGCUGGGGUAGGGCACUUGGGGGUCUGGGCACAGCCCCCCUCACAUCCCAUCACCCUCCUGUGAACCCCCCUCCUGCUGCUGCUGCACCCAAACUGUUUGAUGGCCAAAGCAGCUUGCUGAAAUCAGUGUUGUUACACCCAAAUGUUUUCUGGCUGCAGUCUCUGUUCCUCCUGGGUUAUUUGGCGCAGCUGGAGCUCCUUCUCCACCCUCCAACAGCAUCAGCUGCAGCUUCUUAUCAGCGCUGGGCACAAUCCAGGCUCCAGCUAACUGAAGGGUUGCUGCUGGCACUGGUGGAGGGAGCCUUUUUAUUUCCACCUUGCGUUGCUGUGUGCUGGAGAUGCUGGUGUGGUUGGAGCAGCAGCAGCAGAGCAGAUAUUCAGCAGGAGCAGCCCAGAACCACCCCUGUGAGUCUACUGGAUGUGGUGACACAUCUGCAGGGAAGAGGGAAAAUCCAGCUCCAGACCUGAGACAGAGCUGAGAAGUGUAAUUUCCCUGCAAAGCUGUGAGGAAACCUCCAUCCAUUCCUGAAACUCAGAGCUGUCUCCCUGCAACUGGAAGAGGCUGAAUCAUUUAUCUGGAGCCUAUAGAGCUUGUAUUUCACUUGACCUUACUCCAGCUCAUCGUGACCAGGCAUCUCCACCGAGACCGUGUGUAACACCCUGUCUGACAAGGAGGUGACACCAGAAAUGGAUCUGACAUUAGCAGCUCGUACAGCCGCAGGUGAUGUGACACAGAGCUCCAGCUCUCCCCUGACACAGUGCCAGUCACAGAAAACUUCCAACUUUCCAUCCCAAACUGAAACCUGAAGGUGAUGAGGGAGCCUGGGAUCGGCUGACAUGUCAUCUUAGCUCCAGUAGUGUUCCAGCACUUACAGCUGAUCACUGUCAGCAUCAACUGUUAGUGCUGAACAAUAAUAUUGUAAAUUAUUUUCAUGGCUAUUGCGGUUUCCACAUCACCUUGAGAAUAAACGCAGUGCUCUCGCUGAGACUUGCUACGCAGAGAGCUCCCGUCUGCUCGCGGAAGAUAUUGCAAAAUAAACAUUUCACGCGAAUAUUUAGAAAUUGGCUGCAACAGCCUGGGUCACCAAAACACUGAGGCCAAGACUCUUCCUGCAAAGAAAUCAGGAAACCUGGGGCGAAGGCUCCCGCAGCAGCGCCAGCUCUGCCCCCUCGCGGGUAUUGCUUACGGGGAGGCUGUCAGCGUGCAUCGCCCUGUGCCUCUCGGAGCUUGCUGCAGCCCCAUGCGUCGUGCUGCCUCUGGCACCGUCCUGCAGCAGAUGUUUGCAGGGGCUCCGACCGCUGCUCAGCACCGCCGGCUGUUUUUACUUUGAGGUACAGGAGGGAAUAAGCUUUCCUGAACUGAUCAGCGACUGCAGGGACUUGGUAUCCCUGGAAGGGCUGAGAGAUGUAGAGCUGGGACCCAGCUGUGGCACUGUGGUGCCCCCUCGCACCCAGGGGACACCCUGGGGACAGCGACGUGGCCCCGUCCUUGCUGCCAAGGGGGGCGAGCAGCACACAGACGGCGAGGGGCUUCUGGGCAGCACAGGCCGGGACUGGGACUCGAAGGCCUAAUUAGAAGCGAGCGGGGUUACUUGUGGUUUCCUGUGCAUCCCAACGCCGAUGCCUUUAGGGCUUCUUUUGUUUAAAAUCCCAAGCCAGAGGUCCUGCGGCACAUGCAAAGCCAGCUCAUAAACAGAGGUCUGGGUGAGGUCAGGUUCUCAGGCAGCUUUCUGAGGGGGCAGGGAGAGGAGAAAAAAAAAUAAAAUCCGUGGCUGCUAAACUGGGAGGAGGGAGCUGGAAACCUCUGCUCUCCUGCUGGGCGGUGGGGCGAGCUGGUCCAGGAGGAUGGCCUCAGCUGGGGGAGGCAGAGUUUGCCCUUCGCUUUUCACCUCCCCACUCGCUUCAGCUUGUGCGAAUUGUGCUGAGGGUAUCACUCGCCUGCUCGGGGCUGCCGAGCCUUUAAGGAAAUGUUUUUGUUUAUGCAGGGCUGCCAGAUUUCCUAUGCUUCUUGGCACAGGGUCACAGCUUUCGUGCCUCCUUGUCUGUCUUUAUUAACACCAAUUUCUUUUUAUCACUGCGCAGUGCCGUGGAGUUUCUCAGCGGGUUUUACGUUCCAACCAGACCGUAUGUAAAUUCUCAGCAAUGCUACCACCGAUGCCAGAAACGGACACUUUUUCAGUCAGAUGCUGUUUCUGGUUAAGGAAUCCAUCAACAUGAGCCAGGCCCAUGGUUUUUAAGGACAGUUGUUUAUUCCUGUACCCAGAUCUGGGACUCUUAAGCUGUCUAGUAACCGUUGCAGCUGCUUCCUCUUUAAUCCCCCAAAAGCAUGAAGCAAACCUGGGGAAGGGGUGCCAGAAGCAGGGCACAAGGACAAGGUUCCCAUCCAGGGGCAGCUGCUGGAUCAGUGCCACCACCACAGGUAAAGUGGCAGGGCUCAAACCCCGUGGGUUUCCAGGGACGAUCCUGCCCUGCCAGGAUCAUAACAGAGCCUGGUGCCCGCGCACCAGUGCGUUCAGAAACGCACCCUACACCGUGGGUAACAUCUCCUCUGUUUCUGCUUCAGUCAGCAACCAGUGGUUUAAGCACUGCAGCACUUGGAUGCUCCUUUCCCAGCAUAUGGCAUGAGCACACCCACAGUGAAAACAAUGCAGGCCACAUCUCAUCUCCAACACAAGGCGUUUAUGCGGGUAAGAAUAAUUUCUGUAUCUCAAAUGCUAGGAAUUUCCUGUGAAUGAGAGGGAUCAGUUCAAGGAAAGUAGGCUUAACUAGAUACUCUGCAUGCAUAAUUGCAGAUAAACAUAGGGUGCAAAAUAUAUUAUUCAACAAAAAGCAUGAAAGAGACUUAUUAUGAUGAGCGAUCUGGAGCAACGCAGCUCAAACAGCUUUGUUUUCUUCAAAUGAAAUUUCUCAAGUCCCUUCUCCCCAUAGUAGGUAUCUUUGCAUAUUUCUUAAAGGGCAAAGGAAAAUAAAAGCUCACAAUGAGUCAUUAAACUUUCAAAUGAGUCAUCUGGCUUUCAGUAAAGCAUGUGUAAAAAUAUUACUAAUUUACAAACAAUAUCCAGUGUAACACAAUGGGUCCAAAAAAGAUGAAUCUAAAAAUGAGGCAAUACCAUAAAAGACACAAGGUCAGGUCAAAUUCGGCCACGAGAUCGACCAAUACAAAUGUUCCCAUGGCUGUGUUUUUUUCUUCUUUUUUUAAACCCUCAGGGAAUAAUUUUUAUAUAAAUAAAUAUUGCCUAUGCAGUGCUAGCAACACAAACAGGCUAAUACCUUAGGGAGUAGAGGGGAUCCUAGCAGGAAGCAGAAAUAAACACCAACAAAACAGUGUAUUUUUAAAACUAGUGUACAUUCUAACUGCAGUGCAAAAACUUAUUUAAUAGAAUAAAUACUGAAAAGUAAAUUUCAUUUUUAAAUGCUUGGUCAAAACAAUCUCAAGCCCUGAUGUGUAGCUGCACAUACGAGGCAAAAUAUAAUGCAUGGGUGUUCACCUGUUAAGUCUGAUUAAAAAGUGUUUUUAGGAGCAGGCAGAGAUUGUUCGUGUUUGAUUUACUUUUAACAUCUUCCCUCAUGAAAGAAUCCCUUUCUGCAGAAACACUGUCUCUUCAUUGUUUGCCUGUUUUGCACACCUGCUGUAAUUUUGAUGAUUUCACUGCCUCCAUCUGUUGUAUGUUCUUUGCAAAUAUUUUUAGAGAGUUCAGAAAAUUAAAUAAUUCAGAAAAAUAUAGAAAAAACAGUUCAGAGUAGAAAAAAUCAAUUCAGAGAUAUAAUAUUGAAGAGUAGUCUCUGGCUGAACUUGCUUAUUUUUCUUCCAUUUGCAUUAGAAGGUUUUAAAGAUUGAAACAGUCUGCUUCACUUCUUGAUAAGUGGAUGAAACUCUGACAGAUUUAGUUGUGUCAAUAGAGUGGGUCAGAAAAUGGAACUAGAGGCGCCCACGAGGGCAGACCUGCAAGGCAAGUUUUCCAAGCUGAAAAUCAAUUUAACUUAGGACUCCCUGGGCUGCCGACUGUCCAGGAAGAAAGCGACCAAGAGCAGCAACCCUUGUGCACCAGAGGAACAAGGGAGCAUGUUAGAUCUUUCUUGGGGAGAGAAGACCUGGUUUUGAUCCAUGACACCACAAAAGAAAGUGACAGAACGUACAUAUUUGUUUGAAAAACAAUAUUUUUUUAAAGAUCAAGAUUUGUAGUUUUGGAGUUUCCUCCCCUGCAAUUCAUAUUCAAGGAUGACCCAAGUGCCCAUUAACAAUCAAACCACUGUGCAGCAACCCGGGAGCCUCAGCAAUUAUGAAGAUAAUGGUGCCCUCCUCCUCUGCCUCCUCUCCUGAGGAAUGGGGGAAGGGCAGAGAGCACGGGGGGAAAAAGAAAAUCAGCAAAUAGAAUGAUAAUGUCAUUCCCUUUCACCGACAGCAACAGAAAGCUGCAAUUAGACUUCUCUUGAAUUUUAUCUAGCAUUUUGAUCAGAGAAUUUCUAAAGUAGAUCUAAGGCACGAGAAAUACUCGGUUCAUCUUUACUUAGCAGUCACCUGCUCCUAAAACACAGCGCACGUGUGCAGGGUUUGCGUGUGCAGCCAUCCCUUUGUGGGAGCUGUUCACAGCACCCCAGGGCCACGUAACCCUGGGGUGGCAGAUCACACAGGGGACUUUGUGCCUCUGCGUCUGACCAGGGCGUUUUGAGGGCUCUGUCACUGCAGGGUCUGAGCACGCACAGGUGCAAGGGCUGCUCUGGUCCCAGGGACUGAAUGUGGGUGAGCUUACCCUCUGAAGGGUCCUCACCACAGCCCCCUGUGUUAUCUUAUGUGAGGGUGAACUUGGGCAGCUGUGGGCACUUACUUCGGAAUCGGCACCCGAAUCAGCGUCCCAUCCACUUCUGGGUUCAGGUUCAUUCCACUCUCCCUUAUAGCCUUCAUAGCUGCAGCUGUGCUCUGUAAAACAGAUCAAAAGGUAAAGAGAAUUAGGAAAUAAUCAUUCCCAUAUGCCAGAACUCUGUCAAUAGUUGGCAAUCCAUCUCCACAGAACAUGGAAACAUUUACUUCUGUUACCAGUAAGAUCAGGAAGUUACAUUGGUGCGGAGAGCUUUGAUCAAACUGAAUGGGAAACUAUGGCUGUGCUCGGUAUCGGGGUAGGAAGGGCACAAAGGGGGGAGAGGGGAAGGGAAGCAACAACAAAAGAAAACUGUUUUGCUUCUUUGAAACUAUUUGAAUGGUUUGAGGCAAUGCAGAGUGAAACCGCAAUAAAUUCCCUAGGCAUAGCCUGACUGUGGCAAAGGAGAUGAAAGAUUCUGAGCAUUUAAAAAUUCCAGUUGAAUGUUUUCCACUAGAAAUCACACAGUGCCAAUUUAGAAAAGUUAACUAACUUAACCACUUCAGCACUACAACCUAACCACAUUACAUCAGUAGCAGUUGGCUGAGAACGGAGCCUGUGCCCAGCUCUGUUUAUUUUACAGCUUAUUACUUAGGAUUAAGUUUUCAAAACUCCAUCACUGCUGACUGACACUGCUCUGCUUAAAAGGUGAGGUGUGCAGGUUUGCUUGGGAACUACAAAGUGAGUAAAAUGCUUCCUUCCCCAUUUU